rnacentral:lncRNA from 1 species
UGAUAAAUUUGGGGUCUUUUUAAUAACUAAUUUUUCUAAUUACAUGUAAUUUUUAAUAUUUUUCAAAUUUUGAGUUCCAAAUUCUCUCUUUAUAUCUAGAUGACCAACAGUUUGAUAUAGGUUAUAUAUGUGCAAUCAUGCAAAACACAUAUCCAUAUUAGUCAUGUUGUGAAGGAAAACAGAGACAAAACACAUUUUUAAAAAAACAGAAAAAUAUGUAUUAUUCAAUCUACAUUCAGGUUGCAUCAGUUCUUUCUCUGGAGACAGAUAGCAUUUUUCAUCUCUAUGAUGAAUUUGUGAGAUAGCCGAGAAUAUGGAUUGAUAGGAAGUAUUUUCUCCUGGGAAAUCAUGAAGAAUGUAUGUAAUUUAUCUGGCAUCCAACAAGAAUCUAUAACAGAGAGAAAAAAACUCUUAUAAAAUAUUCUGGCCACUUAAGAGAAAUAGAUCUUGGCAAUAAUGUUCUGGGAGAAAUUGCUGCUACUAAUAUACUGGAAGCACUAAAGGAACGAAAGAAAGCCAAACUGCCAAACUUACAUAUUAUAGUCACCCCACAGAUCUCUUCAGAUACUUUCAGGUCCAUCUGGAAAAACAACAGAAACUCUGGCUCUGUCCAAAAGAAAAAGAAGGCCAAAAACUGAAUAUAUAUUCCAUUUAUUCCUGUGGACAAAUGGUUUGGAUAUGAAGACAAUGUCACUGAGAAAUAAUAUUGUCAAAUAGUCAUUUCACUAAUGUGCAAAGUAUUCUUAUAUUACAUUUUUUACUUUUUUAAAAGAUAAUUUAUUUUACCAAUUACAUGUACUAACAAGUUUCCAUAUAAGGUUUCUGAAGUUAUAAAAUACAAAUUGUCUCCUCUUCUUCCUGGAGAUGGUAAUCAACUUGAUCUGGAUUAUGUAUGUAUCAUCAUGUAAAACCUAUUUCCAUACUGUUCAUUGUUUUAAAGAAUACUCAUAUAAAACCAAAACUCCAAAAUAAAAAGUCAAAUAAAUUAAAGUGAAAAAUCA